rnacentral:rRNA from 1 species
GACGAACGCUGGCGGCGUGCUUAACACAUGCAAGUCGAACGGAAAGGCCCUGCUUUUGUGGGGUGCUCGAGUGGCGAACGGGUGAGUAACACGUGAGUAACCUGCCCUUGACUUUGGGAUAACUUCAGGAAACUGGGUCUAAUACCGGAUAGGAGCUCCUGCUGCAUGGUGGGGGUGGAAAAGUUUCGGCGGUGGGGGAUGGACUCGCGGCUUAUCAGCUUGUUGGUGGGGUAGUGGCUUACCAAGGCUUUGACGGGUAGCCGGCCUGAGAGGGUGACCGGCCACAUUGGGACUGAGAUACGGCCCAGACUCCUACGGGAGGCAGCAGUGGGGAAUAUUGCACAAUGGGCGGAAGCCUGAUGCAGCAACGCCGCGUGCGGGAUGACGGCCUUCGGGUUGUAAACCGCUUUCGCCUGUGACGAAGCGUGAGUGACGGUAAUGGGUAAAGAAGCACCGGCUAACUACGUG